GCUCAGGUGGUCUAGUAGUUAGAGCAUCCGCCUCGUUUGCGGAAGGUCGCAGGUUCGAACCCCGGCCGAAUCA